rnacentral:rRNA from 1 species
UACCAGCACCCCGAGUGGUCGGGACGUUUAUUGGGCCUAAAGCAUCCGUAGCCGGUUCUACAAGUCUUCCGUUAAAUCCACCUGCUUAACAGACGGGCUGCGGAAGAUACUAUGGAGCUAGGAGGCGGGAGAGGCAAGCGGUACUCGAUGGGUAGGGGUAAAAUCCGUUGAUCCAUUGAAGACCACCAGUGGCGAAGGCGGCUUGCCAGAACGCGCUCGACGGUGAGGGACGAAAGCUGGGGGAGCAAACCGG